AGCAGCCGCGGUAAUUCCAGCUCCAAUAGCGUAUAUUAAAGUUGUUGCAGUUAAAAGCUCGUAGUUGAAUUUCGGGGUCAGUAGGUUGGUCGUGCCACCGGUACGUACUGGUCUCACUGAUUCCUCCUUCCUGAAGAACUGUAAUGCCAUUAAUUUGGUGUUGCGGGGAAACAGGACUGUUACUUUGAAAAUUAGAGUGUUUAAAGCAGGCUAACGCUUGAAUACAUUAGCAUGGAAUAAUGAAAUAGGACGAUCGAUCCUAUUUUGUUGGUUUCUAGGAUUGACGUAAUGAUUAAUAGGGAUAGUUGGGGGCAUUAGUAUUCAAUUGUCAGAGGUGAAAUUCUUGGAUUUAUUGAAGGCUAACUACUGCGAAAGCAUUUGCCAAGGAUGUUUUCAUUAAUCAAGAACGAAAGUUAGGGGAUCGAAGACGAUCAGAUACCGUCGUAGUCUUAACCAUAAACUAUGCCGACUAGGGAUCGGAUGAUGUUAAUUUUAUAAUGACUCAUUUGGCGCCUUAAC
rnacentral:rRNA from 1 species